GCUGGCGGCGUGCCUAAUACAUGCAAGUAGAACGCUGAAGAGAGGAGCUUGCUCUUCUUGGAUGAGUUGCGAACGGGUGAGUAACGCGUAGGUAACCUGCCUUGUAGCGGGGGAUAACUAUUGGAAACGAUAGCUAAUACCGCAUAACAAUGGAUGACACAUGUCAUUUAUUUGAAAGGGGCAAUUGCUCCACUACAAGAUGGACCUGCGUUGUAUUAGCUAGUAGGUGAGGUAACGGCUCACCUAGGCGACGAUACAUAGCCGACCUGAGAGGGUGAUCGGCCACACUGGGACUGAGACACGGCCCAGACUCCUACGGGAGGCAGCAGUAGGGAAUCUUCGGCAAUGGGGGCAACCCUGACCGAGCAACGCCGCGUGAGUGAAGAAGGUUUUCGGAUCGUAAAGCUCUGUUGUAAGUCAAGAACGAGUGUGAGAGUGGAAAGUUCACACUGUGACGGUAGCUUACCAGAAAGGGACGGCUAACUACGUGCCAGCAGCCGCGGUAAUACGUAGAUCCCGAGCGUUGUCCGGAUUUAUUGGGCGUAAAGCGAGCGCAGGCGGUUUGGUAAGUCUGAAGUUAAAGGCUGUGGCUCAACCAUAGUUCGCUUUGGAAACUGUCAAACUUGAGUGCAGAAGGGGAGAGUGGAAUUCCAUGUGUAGCGGUGAAAUGCGUAGAUAUAUGGAGGAACACCGGUGGCGAAAGCGGCUCUCUGGUCUGUAACUGACGCUGAGCUCGAAAGCGUGGGGAGCGAACAGGAUUAGAUCCCCUGGUAGUUCACGCCGUAAACGAUGAGUGCUAGGAGUGGGAUCCUUUCCGGGAUUCAGUGCCGCAGCUAACGCAUUAAGCACUCCGCCUGGGGAGUACGACCGCAAGGUUGAAACUCAAAGGAAUUGACGGGGGGCCCGCACAAGCGGUGGAGCAUGUGGUUUAAUUCGAAGCAACGCGAAGAACCUUACCAGGUCUUGACAUCCCGAUGCUAUUUCUAGAGAUAGAAAGUUACUUCGGUACAUCGGUGACAGGUGGUGCAUGGUUGUCGUCAGCUCGUGUCGUGAGAUGUUGGGUUAAGUCCCGCAACGAGCGCAACCCCUAUUGUUAGUUGCCAUCAUUCAGUUGGGCACUCUAGCGAGACUGCCGGUAAUAAACCGGAGGAAGGUGGGGAUGACGUCAAAUCAUCAUGCCCCUUAUGACCUGGGCUACACACGUGCUACAAUGGUUGGUACAACGAGUUGCGAGUCGGUGACGGCAAGCUAAUCUCUUAAAGCCAAUCUCAGUUCGGAUUGUAGGCUGCAACUCGCCUACAUGAAGUCGGAAUCGCUAGUAAUCGCGGAUCAGCACGCCGCGGUGAAUACGUUCCCGGGCCUUGUACACACCG
rnacentral:rRNA from 1 species